AUGCAAGGGAAACCUUUGCCUUCGGGUGUAAUCAAGUUUGACUAUUUGCAUAGGGCUCGCUUGUUACUUGAUCUUGUGAUAUACAAGCAUAAUUCAGCUGAUAUUGUUGCUGAUAUCGCGCAAUAUAAAGCUGAACUCAGAGCUAGGGGUGAAUUGAAAUGGAAGUAGAGGCUAUACGACUUUUGUGAUCCUGAAAGAAGAAAAGAUAGUGGAUAAGGUUGUGGGAGCGAACAAAGACGACUUUGAUUUUAAUUGAUGUAUUUAAAAUUUGAACAUGAAUUGUUUCUAUUCUUGGGUAUGCAAUG